GGCGCAGUCCAGGCGCGCCGGCUCCGCCCCACCGCCGGGGUCCGCGGGCCGGUGGGCGGCCGCGACGUCUGCAGGCGGCGGCUGGGCGCGCGGUAGCAGCGCGGUCCCGGCUUCGGCGGCGUCCGGCUCGCUCUUGCCCGGCGCCCAGCCCGCCCGGCCGCGGGGCCCCGGAGCCACAGGGCGGAGAACGCACCUGGUGCGGGCGCGGGCCGAGGUGCGGGCGGGGCCCACGGCGGGGGACGCCCGGAGCGCGCUUACCCGGAGGCCGCGCGAGUGUCCUCCUCCGUGCCCCGGCGCUGCGAGGGCCGCGGGGGCGCGCUGGCCGCGGUGCUCCGUGCUGGUGCGUCUAAGCCCUUCAGUCUAGGACGAUAAGGCGCUUCGCGGCGGCCGCGCUCGGGGGCCGCGCGGCCUAGAGCUUAAGCCUGUGGGGCCGGGCGGGGAGACCCUGCGGCGGUGACCGCGGCCGGAGGCCUCGGGGCUGGGCUGGGGGCGUGCGGCGGGCAGGUGCAGCACGCGCGGGGCCGCGGGCCUCUUGGUCUCUGCAGGCAUCUGGGCGCUUAGUGCGAGUUUCCUGGUGACCAGCUCGGGCGGCGACCGCCCCGACCGUGCGGACUGACCGGAGACGCGGCCUGUCCCCGUUGCCGACGACCGCUCCUGUGUCGCAGAGGGAGAUCGGUGCUCCUUGCCCGGCCAGCCGGUCCGGGCCCCUCCUGCCCGCGCGCUCCCCGGCUCCUCCCACCCCUGCACCUCACCCCUGCACGGGCCCGAGGCCCUGUCCACCCCGCGGCCCGCCGCCGUGGCCCCUCGCUCUGCUCCAGCCUGGGGGGCGCGACUUCCGCGGGCCUCAGGGGUGACGUCCGGCGCAGUGUCGACCGCGGUGGCAGUCGGUGUGCGCGUCUGUGUGUGGUUUGCGCUCGCCCGCGGCUCCCGCCUCUCAGCGGUGGCGGGGGGGGGGGGGGGGGGGGGGGGAGGACUGGUGUGCAGCUCAGGGGACAGCAUGGACGCGGUGGCCGCCGGCCAGGGCCAACCCGCCACCUGUUUGUGGCUAUUCGUUCGUUUUUUUCGUUUCGUUUAAUUGCCCUAAGACUAUUGUCUCCUUCCUGGCUAGGGAAAAAACCGAAAUAAUAAUAUCUCCCGACGUGCGGAAACUACCUGACAUUGGAAUGUCAGUGUCCUUGCGGAAUUUACUGGGCCGCGGCCGUGCCAGCUCACUGCCCUACCGCCUCCAGCGGCUCAUGAGCCCAGUGGGGGAGAACUUGCUUCCCGACCCUUCGCAAAAAACCUGUGGUCUCCUGCUCUAGAUGGCAACAGCCUCCUUCCUGGUCCCUGCUAUAUGCUGUGGUCGCCUGCCCACUGACACCUUCGGCGGCUCCCUGUGUCCCUCAAAGCCAGAGUUCUCACAGCUGUGAUGACCAGGUCCACACUGCCUUUCCUCGUGGACUUGGGUCCAGCUCUGGGUCCCACCUCAGGGCAGUGGUCCUGGUUGUUCCUUCCACCUGGAAUGCUCUUCCUCAGUCCUCAGCCUGUCUCACCCAUGUAGAUCUUGGCCCAGAUGUCACUAUACUGACCAUUCUCUAUAAGGCAGUGCCCCUCCCCUCACCCCGCUUCCCAGCCUCGCUGUUCUCAGACAUUUACGGGGGCCAGCCUCGCUAACACUCCAGGAGAGCAGGGCCUUCCCUGGUAUGUCCGCUGAUAUACGCACACCCAGCAUGAGAAGACAAGCGCGUCCAGAGGCGGCAGGAUAGGCAGACUGUGUCAGCAGGACGGCUGGGCACCGGGCUAGGGGUGGGCAGGAAAGGUUCCCCUAGUGGAAUGGCAGCAACACUUCCCAGGUCCACCCUGGCUCCCGCACUUUCCACAUCCUGCAGGUCAGCCAGGUGUGGCUGCUCUGACCCCUCGUAGGAAGGAUUUUGUUGGGUACGUAGGGUGGCCGUCCACCCAGUGCUUAAAAGGAACACUGGGAGCGGGGAGGGCAGUGCUGCUGGUCAUGCAGCCAGCCCCCAACAAACUGGGACUCAGCGAGUCACGAUGCGUGGCAGCCCUUUCCAGAGCUCUGCCCCUUCAUUCGACAAAUCUUUGAUGAGCAUUUUCCGGCCUUCUGUGACACUGUGGCAGGAUCACAAGGUGAUGGGGUGGUGAGAGGUGGACACCAAGCUUGGCCUGGUGGGAGGCUGCAGCUACUAGCACAGCUGGGCACUGACGCCCGCUGAAUCCUGACUGGGACUCCUCACCUGUGUGCCCACAAUCCCACUGCCUGCACUGUGAUUCCCCCACCUGGGUAUCCAGAAUCCCCUCCACCUGGGCACCCCCCGAAUGUGACCCCCCACCUGUGUAUCCAGAAUCCACACCCUCCCGGGCACCCCCACUCAUGGUGACCCCCCACCUGGGCAUCCAGAAUCCCCUUCACCAGGGCACCGCCCUCCAUGCUGUGAUCCCUGACUUUGGUAUCCAGAGUCCCCACCCCCCGGGGCACUGUGAUCCCCCACCUGGAUAUCCCCCAUCCACGUAUCCCCAUCGCUGCUCUCCCAGGACCUCUGAAGCCUCGUUGGGUGGGUCCCAGGACCUGCAGGAGUAAGUGCCCUGCAGCGUUCCACUUUUGCAUUGUCUGUUUGUGUGGUUAGAGGCCAGAGAACACCAGGUCCCCAAUGUGGACACGUGGAGGUGUCCCCACAGUUUUUCUCUGGGGCAUUCAUGGUCUGGAGUAACCUUCUUCUUUGGCCUAGAUGAGCUAUAAGGGUCUGCACUUCACAGCUUCUGGAAAGCCCGCCACACAGCCCUGGAACCCCAGAGCUGUGCCAGAUGGUCACUUGUCUUGGUUCCGGAGGGGAUGCUGGUGUCAGGACACUGUCAGCCAUCCUGCGGAGUGAUGCGGCCAGGAACAGGCAGAUACCUCCAGGGCCCAAGGAAGGAAAUGCAAGGGUCAUGAGCAGUGGAGGCGACAGGAGCUACCAGUGAGACACUAGCAAGCAGUGAUGAGCUCCACAGAGAUGGAACAGCCUUGGGGGACACUGACAGCAGGGCCUGCCAGGAGGAGCCUCAGCACAUUGGGGGGACAAGGGGCCUUGUGACCGGGAUGGGGUCGUUGGGAAGGAGCACACAGAAAUCAUCAAGCACCAAGGCCCUGGGGCAGGCAUCAACGACUGUAUGGAUGGUAAGCCGAGCAGGGAGGAGGCGGGGUAGGAAGGGGCUUGAGGGUGUUAGGGUUGGAGUGGGCAAGGGUCCAGGGAGGAAGAGGGAUGGGGACUUAAUGAUCCCGGGGGUAGCGGCUGUGUCUGCUGCUGGACGGAGACGUCGAAACCUGGUUAAGUGCACUUGGUGAGAAUGGGAGGGCAGUGCCCUGGGGGUUGGUGCCCAAGUGGGGCAUGGGGUUCAGGCGGAUGCAUACGCUGGCCCUGGCCCUGGCCUUCCAGCACAGAAGACGCCAGACUGUGGCGGCCGGUUCUGUGUUAUUUUCCAAGGUGGAAAUGGCUCUGGAGUUUGUCGUAACUAGGUUUGGUGGAUUCAGCAAGUAGAAGUACAAAUACUGCACAGGACAUCGUCAUACUAAGACAUUAAUUAUCUGAGUUUUUAAUUUCACUGGGUAUACUGUAGUUUAUCUAGCAACUGUAAUCAUACCAGGAACACUGUUCGCCAUAAACAAUCCGGCCAACACCAAAAUAAAGAGAAAAUGACGGCUACCUACAACCCCAUCCCAAAAGGAUAACUUGGAAAACAAAUCAGAUGUGUAUCUUGGUUUUACGUACAAGCUUGCAGAUUAAAAAUCAGAAAAGACUCUACUGUGUGUACUCUUUUCUAAUCUAGCGUUUUCACUUAACCGAGUCCCCACCUACCUGUAUCCAUGCCACGGACUACGGCAGCACAGGUCAUUGCUAACGGCUGCUCGGUACCACACCGAGUGGGUGAGCACGCAGCCCUGUGGAGGCUCCCAGCCGUGCCCAGCUCCCCUUGGGGAGCCCACCUGCUCUGACGCCCUGGCAGUUCCCUUGGGUUAUUUCUUCAGAAUACAUUCUUAGCAGUGGAGUUUUCUCAGCUGAAAAUUUUACAGAGGUGAUUGUGGACACAUAUGCGAUUCCAAGAAAUAAUGCAGAAGGGUCCCUCGUACAUGGUAGUUUUACCCAAAGGUAACAUGAUGGCAGCAGGGGCGCCUGGGUGACUGGGUUGAGCGUUGGACUCUCGGUUUUUUUUGGAUCAGGUCAUGAUCUCAGGGCUGUGCAUGGGAUCGAGCCUUGCAUCAGGCUCUGUGCUCAGCCUGGACUCUGCUCGAGAUUCUCUCCCUCUCCCUUCUCCAGUAACUAAAUAAAAUCUUUAGAAGUAACUGAAUAAAAUGACAGUAGGAGAAUCACAGCCGGGCAUUGAUACCGGUAAAGUUCACCGAUGUCCCUUUUUCCCCAGUUUUACAUGUACUUGUGUAUGUAUUAGUUCCAUACAUUCUUAAAAUGUUUCUUUUUCCUUUAAGUGGGCUCCACAUCCAGCGCAGAGCCCAAUGCAGGAGUUGAACUCAGACCCUGAGGUCGAGACCUGAGCUGAGAUCGAUUCAGAUGCUUAACCGACUGAGCUCCCCAGGCGCCCCUGAUUCUCUACCUUCUGAGCACCCAAGCUGGUUCAUGGAUCCACAUGGGGAGUUCCAACAAGGGUUGUUUCUGGUCCCCUUUGAGAGCCACGCCCACCCCCCCUGCCCUGUGCUGGCAGCAACUACUCAUCUGCCCUCAUUCCUAAAACUAUGUCGUCUCAGUAUUGCACAAAGGGAGUCAGGCGGCGAGUAACCCGCUUAGAUCGGCUGUUCUCCUCGGUAAGUAGCUCACUAGAGACCCUCUCCAAGUUGUUGGAUGUCAAUGGUUUGUCCCCCAGCCCUGCCGAGUGGUGGUCCUUGGUUGGGGGCACACCGGGCUUCCCUUCUCACCUGCCGGAGGACGUUGGGGUCGAUUCUGGAUUUGGUCCGUUACUCGGAGAGAUGGGAUGAAUAUUUGUGGGCAGCUUUUGGUGUGAGCAGAAAUCGUUUCUCUGGGAGAAUCGCCCAGGAGCCCAACUAGGUCAUGUGCUGGCUGCAGGUUUUGUUUUCAGAGCAGCCCCAAGCUGUUUUCCAGAGUGGCUGCUCCGGGCUGCACCCCACCAAGGGUGCGAGUGUCCAGUGUCUCCGCCUCCUCGCCAGCAUUCACGGCGCUCACUGCCUUUCAUCUCUGUCACCUAGCUUGCAUGUCCCUACUGCCCGAUGACGCUGGGCCUCUGUGCCUACGCUCUUGCUUGCGACGUCUCUAUCUGUUGGCGAGUUUUUACGUGGAUGGCUUGGUUUUUACUCUUGUGUUUUCAGAAUCUAUGUGUUCCAUCUCUCAGUCCCCCGUCACACGCGUGGUUUACAAACCCUGCCUCCCGGUCUGCGGCUUGUCUCCAUCCUUUCCACAGGCUCAUUCCCAGCAGAGGUUUCUGAUGCUCCUGAGGUCUAGUUUAGCAAUAUUUUCUUUUGUGGUUGUGUCUUUGGUGUCGAGAACUUGUUGCCUAGCCUAGAUCCCGAAGAUUUUCUCCUGUUUUCCUCCAAAAGCAUCAUAGUUUUAAGUUCAUGAUUCAUUUCAAGUUAAGUUUUAUAUACGGUCUGAAAGCCUUGGGGUGAGCUUCUUCUCCCCCUCCCCCUCUUCCCUCCCCUUCCCCUCUUCCCUUCCUCUAUCACUCCCCCUCCCCUCACCUCCUCUUCCUUCUUCCCAUCUUUCUUGCCUUCCGCUGUCUAAUUGCUCCAGCGACGCUUGUUGGAAAGGCCAGCCUUCCUCCAUCGCAACGCUUCUGCGUGUGUCUAACAUCAGUUGGACAUGUCUGUGUGGGUCUGUUUCCAAGUCUCUGUUUCUUCCAUUGAUCUGUGCUUCUCUCCUUCUGCCAAUACCACACACGCUUGACUACCACAGCUAUCUGUUCUUGAAAUCAGGUAGACUGGUUCUGGCCGCUUGCUUCUCCUUUGCAAAAUUGUUAUAGCUUGAAUCGUUCCUUUGCUGCAUAGUUUAGAAUAAUCUUGUCUGUAUCUAAGAAAAAUCUUGCUGGAAUACUGAUAGGAAUUGUGGUAAACCUGUAUAUGGAUUUGGAGAGACCUGGCAUUUUUACUAUUUUGAGUUUUUCUAGUCUAUCUCUGCACUCAUUUAGAUCUUUUCUUUCUUUCAUCAGCAUUUUAUCAUUUUCAGCAUACAAGUUCUAUACAUUUUUUUGGUAACUCUAUUUCAUUGGAGUUUUAACCAUUGUAAAUGGUUGUGUGCUUAAUUUCAGUGUCCUUGUGUUGAUUGCUAAUAGUUGUGGUAGAAGCAACAAGAGCUGACGUUGCAGAUGAAAUCAGAAGGCAGUCUGCUGGAACAUUCCCUCUCGCCUCGGGAGAGAGAGACAGCAUGUGCAUG